rnacentral:rRNA from 1 species
AUUGAACGCUGGCGGCAGGCCUAACACAUGCAAGUCGAACGAGUGGCGGACGGGUGAGUAAUGUCUGGGACACUGCCUGAGGGCGGGGGAUAACUCCUGGAAACGGUAGCUAAUACCGCAUACCAUCGGAUGUGCCCAGAUUGGAUUAGCUAGUAGGUGGGGUAACGGCUCACCUAGGCGACGAUCCCUAGCUGGUCGGAGAGGAUGACCAGCCACACUGGAACUGAGACACGGUCCAGAGUCCUAAGUGAGGCAGAAGUGGGGAAUAUUGCACAAUGGGCGCAAGCCUGAUGCAGCCAUGCCGCGUGUAUGAAGAAGGCCUUCGGGUUGUAAAGUACUUUCAGCGGGGAGGCGUUACCCGCAGAAGAAGCACCGGCUAACUCCGUGCCAGCCGCCGCGGUAAUUC